rnacentral:rRNA from 1 species
AUUGAACGCUGGCGGCAGGCUUAACACAUGCAAGUCGGACGGUAACAGGGAGAAGCCUGCUUCUUUGCUGACGAGUGGCGGACGGGUGAGUAAUGCUUGGGAAUCUGUUUUAUGGAGGGGGAUAACUACGGGAAACUGUAGCUAAUACCGCGUAAUAUCGAGAGAUUAAAGUGUGGGACCGUAAGGCCACAUGCCAUAGAGUGAGCCCAAGUGGGAUUAGGUAGUUGGUGGGGUAAAGGCCUACCAAGCCGUCGAUCUCUAGCUGGUCUGAGAGGAUGACCAGCCACACUGGGACUGAGACACGGCCCAGACUCCUACGGGAGGCAGCAGUGGGGAAUAUUGCACAAUGGGCGCAAGCCUGAUGCAGCCAUGCCGCGUGAAUGAAGAAGGCCUUAGGGUUGUAAAGUUCUUUCAUUAGUGAGAAAGCGGUUAUAUCUAAUAGGUGUAACCAUUGAUGUUAGCUAAAGAAGAAGCACCGGCUAACUCCGUGCCAGCAGCCGCGGUAAUACGGAGGGUGCGGGCGUUAAUCGGAAUGACUGGGCGUAAAGGGCACGCAGGCGGUUAUUUAAGUCAGAUGUGAAAGCCCCGAGCUUAACUUGGGAAUUGCAUUUGAUACUGGGUAACUAGAGUCCUCUAGGGAGGGGUAGAAUUCCAUGUGUAGCGGUGAAAUGCGUAGAGAUGUGGAGGAAUACCGAAGGCGAAGGCAGCCCCUUGGAGAGAGACUGACGCUCAUGUGCGAAAGCGUGGGUAGCAAACAGG